rnacentral:rRNA from 1 species
UACGUAGGGUGCAAGCGUUAAUCGGAAUUACUGGGCGUAAAGCGUGCGCAGGCGGUUUUGUAAGUCUGUCGUGAAAUCCCCGGGCUCAACCUGGGAAUUGCGAUGGAGACUGCAAGGCUAGAAUCUGGCAGAGGGGGGUAGAAUUCCACGUGUAGCAGUGAAAUGCGUAGAGAUGUGGAGGAACACCGAUGGCGAAGGCAGCCCCCUGGGUCAAGAUUGACGCUCAUGCACGAAAGCGUGGGAGCAACAGGAUU